GCCAUCUUUCCCUAGUCCGGUCAACGGGGACGGUCUUAAGCACCGUUGCGCAAGCUUCAGCGGUUCAAAUCCGCUAGAUGGCA
rnacentral:tRNA from 1 species